UACGAAGGGGGCUAGCGUUGCUCGGAAUGACUGGGCGUAAAGGGCGCGUAGGCGGUUGGAUAAGUCAGCUGUGAAAACCACGGGCUUAACUCGUGGCCUGCAGUUGAGACUGUCUGGCUUGAGUGUGGGAGAGGAGAGUGGAAUUCCCAGUGUAGCGGUGAAAUGCGUAGAUAUUGGGAGGAACACCAGUGGCGAAGGCGGCUCACUGGACCGGUACUGACGCUGAUGCGCGAAAGCGUGGGGAGCAAACAGG
rnacentral:rRNA from 1 species